rnacentral:rRNA from 1 species
AUGAAUAUCUUGAGUUUGAACUGUCGGGGGUGCGGGCGACCCGAGACAGUUCAAGAGAUAUGCAGUUUGAUUAGAUUGCAUCACCCGUCACUGGUCUUUCUCUCGGAGACCAGAUUGUCUGAUAAGAGAGCUCAAGAUCUUAAGUUCCGUUUUGGAUUUAGUAAUGCUUUUGGUGUGAAGAGUGAAGGACUGAGUGGUGGCUUGGUCCUU